rnacentral:misc_RNA from 1 species
GAUGAAGAACGUAGCAAAUGCGAUACGUAAUGUGAAUUGCAGAAUUCAGUGAAUCAUCGAGUCUUUGAACGCACAUUGCGCCCCCUGGUAUUCCGGGGGGCAUGCCUGUCCGAGCGUCAUUGCUGCCCUCAAGCACGGCUUGUGUGUUGGGCCUCCGUCCUCCUCCCGGGGGACGGGCCCGAAAGGCAGCGGCGGCACCGCGUCCGGUCCUCGAGCGUAUGGGGCUUCGUCACCCGCUCUUGUAGGCCCGGCCGGCGCUUGCCGACACAUCAAUCUUUUUUCCAGGUUGACCUCGGAUCAGGUAGGGAUACCCGCUGAACUUAAGCAUAUCAAUAAGCGGAGGA